CAGCAGUCGCGCGGGAAUACGAAGGGUGCAAGCGUUACUCGGAAUUACUGGGCGUAAAGCGUGCGUAGGUGGUGGUUUAAGUCCGUUGUGAAAGCCCUGGGCUCAACCUGGGAAUUGCAGUGGAUACUGGGUCACUAGAGUGUGGUAGAGGAUAGUGGAAUUUCCGGUGUAGCAGUGAGAUGCGUAGAGAUCGGAAGGAACAUCUGUGGCGAAGGCGACUAUCUGGGCCAACACUGACACUGAGGCACGAAAGCGUGGGGAGCAAACAGGAUUAGAUACCCCCGUAGUCCCUGUCUCUUAUACC
rnacentral:rRNA from 1 species